rnacentral:rRNA from 1 species
AACGAACGCUGGCGGCAUGCCUAACACAUGCAAGUCGAACGAGACCUUCGGGUCUAGUGGCGCACGGGUGCGUAACGCGUGGGAACCUGCCCUUAGGUUCGGAAUAACUCCCCGAAAGGGGUGCUAAUACCGGAUAAUGUCUUCGGACCAAAGAUUUAUCGCCUUUGGAUGGGCCCGCGUUGGAUUAGCUAGUUGGUAGGGUAAAAGCCUACCAAGGCGACGAUCCAUAGCUGGUCUGAGAGGAUGAUCAGCCACACUGGGACUGAGACACGGCCCAGACCCCCAGGGGAGGGAGAAGGGGGGAAUAUGGGAAAAAGGGCGAAAGCCGGAGCCAGCAAGGCCGGGGGAGUGAUGAAGGCCUUAGGGUUGAAAAGCUCUUUUACCCGGGAUGAAAAGAAAAGAACGGGGAAAAAAAGCACGGGCAAACUCCUG